rnacentral:rRNA from 1 species
AUUGAACGCUGGCGGCAGGCCUAACACAUGCAAGUCGAGCGAGCGGCGGACGGGUGAGUAAUGUAUGGGGACUGCCCGAUAGAGGGGGAUAACUACUGGAAACGGUAGCUAAUAACGCAUAUUAUCGGAUAAGACAUAGGGGAUUAGCGAGUAGGUGAGGUAAUGGCUCACAUAGGCGACGAUCCCUAGCUGGUCUGAGAGGAUGAGCAGCCACACGGGGACUGAGACACGGCCCAGACCCCUACGGAGGCAGCAGUGGGGAAUAUUGCAAAAUGGGCGAAAGCCUGAUGCAGCCAUGCCGCGUGUAUGAAGAAGGCCCUAGGGUUGUAAAGUCCUUUCAGUCGGGAGGCGUUACCGACAGAAGAAGCACCGGCUAACUCCGUGCCAGCAGCCGCGGUAAUAC